rnacentral:tRNA from 1 species
GGGAAGGUGGCUCAGUGGUAGAGCACUUGCCUUGCAUGCCAGAGGCCCUGGGUUC